rnacentral:rRNA from 1 species
CCUACGGGGGACAGCAGUGAGGAAUAUUGGUCAAUGGACGAGAGUCUGAACCAGCCAAGUAGCGUGAAGGAUGACUGCCCUAUGGGUUGUAAACUUCUUUUAUAUGGGAAUAAAACGUUCCACGUGUGGGAUUUUGUAUGUACCAUAUGAAUAAGGAUCGGCUAACUCCGUGCCAGCAGCCGCGGUAAUACGGAGGAUCCGAGCGUUAUCCGGAUUUAUUGGGUUUAAAGGGAGCGUAGGUGGAUUUUUAAGUCAGUUGUGAAAGUUUGCGGCUCAACCGUAAAAUUGCAGUUGAAACUGGCAGUCUUGAGUACAGUAGAGGUGGGCGGAAUUCGUGGUGUAGCGGUGAAAUGCUUAGAUAUCACGAAGAACUCCGAUUGCGAAGGCAGUUCACUGGACUGCAACUGACACUGAGGCUCGAAAGUGUGGGUAUCAAACAGGAUUAGAUACCCCAGUAGUC